rnacentral:rRNA from 1 species
UACAGAGGUCUCAAGCGUUGUUCGGAUUCAUUGGGCGUAAAGGGCGCGUAGGCGGCGGGGCAAGUCAGGUGUGAAAUCUCGGGGCUCAACCCCGAAACUGCACUUGAUACUGCCUUGCUCGAGUACUGGAGAGGAGACUGGAAUUUACGGUGUAGCAGUGAAAUGCGUAGAUAUCGUAAGGAAGACCAGUGGCGAAGGCGAGUCUCUGGACAGUUACUGACGCUGAGGCACGAAGGCCAGGGGAGCAAACGGG